rnacentral:lncRNA from 1 species
AGGGGCAUUGGAAAGGAAAUGACUUUCUCACUGUGCAAUGCCAGGCUUUGUUCAAGCAUUUGGGAAAACAAUGAGGAGGCAGCUUAUUCCCAGCUCCAGGCAGGAGGAGACCUGCAGAGGGUGAGAUUCUCAGGGGAGGAACUGCCAGAAGCCUAAGAGCCUUUUUCCAGAGCUGCCUCCAGGAGAGAAGGUGAUCUACCUGGCUCCGGAUCAAGUCCUUUCUGCUCAGAACAAGCUUUCUGCACUUGUAGGAAUACAUCAAACAAUAUUACCUUGAAACAAGCAGGCACCUCUGCAAGAGAGUGAAUUCUGGAUCAAGCAACAGUU